UACGAGGGGGGCGAGCGUUGUUCGGAAUUAUUGGGCGUAAAGGGUGCGUAGGCGGCCUGACAAGUCUGAUGUGAAAUCCCUGGGCUCAACCCAGGGCCUGCAUCGGAAACUGUCGGGCUUGAGUAUGGGAGAGGUGAGUGGAAUUUCCGGUGUAGCGGUGAAAUGCGUAGAUAUCGGAAGGAACACCUGUGGCGAAAGCGGCUCACUGGACCAUUACUGACGCUGAGGCACGAAAGCGUGGGGAGCGAACAGG
rnacentral:rRNA from 1 species